rnacentral:misc_RNA from 1 species
UGUGAAAACACAAAUACAGAAAAUGCAGCCAGAUGCCACCGGGAAAUAUCCAUAUACUGGGUCUUUGGACUGCACUUUGAAGACCUUGAAGAACGGUGGACCACUCAAAUUCUACACUGGAUUUCCUGUCUAUUUUGUUAGGAUUGCUCCCCAUGUCAUGAUGGUGUGGAUAUUUUUGGAUCAAAUACAGAAGUUCGAGAAAUCGGUGGGGCUUUAGGAUUUCAACAA